rnacentral:rRNA from 1 species
UACGUAGGGUGCGAGCGUUAUUCGGAAUUACUGGGCGUAAAGCGUGCGCAGGCGGUAAGUUAAGUCUGAUGUGAAAGCCCCGGGCUCAACCUGGGAAUGGCAUUGGAAACUGGCUUGCUAGAGUGUGGCAGAGGGGGGUGGAAUUCCGCGUGUAGCAGUGAAAUGCGUAGAGAUGCGGAGGAACACCGAUGGCGAAGGCAGCCCCCUGGGCUGACACUGACGCUCAGGCACGAAAGCGUGGGGAGCAAACAGG